rnacentral:rRNA from 1 species
AGAGUUUGAUCCUGGCUCAGGAUGAACGCGAGCGGCAGGCCUAACACAUGCAAGUCGAGGGGUAACGAUGUCUUCGGACAGGCGACGACCGGCGCACCGGUGCGUAACGCGUAUGCAACCUACCUUUAACUGGAAGAUAGCCCCGAGAAAUCGGGAUUAAUACUCCAUAGUAAUUAUGAGUGGCAUCACUUAUAACUUCAAGCUCCGGCGGUUAGAGAUGGGCAUGCGUGACAUUAGUUUGUUGGUGAGGUAACGGCUCACCCAGACUACGAUGUCUAGGGGUUCUGAGAGGAUUAACCCCCACACUGGUACUGAGACACGGACCAGACUCCUACGGGAUGCAGCAGUGAGGAAUAUUGGGCAAUGGACGCAAGUCUGACCCAGCCAUGCCGCGUGAAGGAUGAAUGCCUUAUGGGUCGUUAACUUCUUUUAUACCGGAAUAAACUUAGCUAUGUAUAGCUAACUGCAGGUACCGUACGAAUAAGCACCGGCUAACUCCGUGCCAGCAGCCGCGGUUAUACGGAGGGUGCAAGCGUUAUUCGGAUUUAUUGGGUUUAAAGGGUCCGCAGGCGGACUAAUAAGUCAGUGGUGAAAUCUCUCGGCUCAACCGAGAAACUGCCAUUGAUACUGUUGGUCUAGAGUGUAGUUGGCGUAGCCGGAAUAUAUCAUGUAGCGGUGGAAUGCUUAGAUAUGAUAUAGAACACCAAUCGCGAAGGCAGCUUACGAAACUACAACUGACGCUCAAGGACGAAAGCGUGGGGAGCGAACAGGAUUAGAUACCCUGGUAGUCCACGCCGUAAACUAUGAUUACUCGUUGUCGGCGAUACACA